CCCCUUGUUGUCUAGACUCCUUACUUAUACAUGCAAGCCUCACCACAACAGUGAAACAGCCCACCAAAGCCACCAUCGGAGCCGGUAUCAGGCAGACCGCCCAUGACACCAAGUGAUCCAAGCCACACCCCCACGGGCCUGCAGCAGUAGUUAAUAUUAGGCCAUAAGCGCAAGCUUGACCCAGUAAUGAACCCACAAGGGCCGGUUAAUCUCGUGCCAGCGACCGCGGUUACACGACAGGCCCAAGACAACCCCCUCGGCGUAAAGCACGACUAAAACUAAAAUAUUUAACCAAUUAGGGUUGAAGAUAAACUGGGCUGUAAAAAGCCAUAAGUAACACCAAACACACCCCCUAACAACCAAACACUUCAACUCGUGAAAGCCAGGACACAAACUAAGAUUAGAUACCUUACUAUGCCCGGCCAUAACAAAACAGUCAAAUAACUAAUUGUUCGCCAAAUAACUACGAGUAAAAACUUAAAAUUUAAAAGACUUGACGGUACUUCACACCAACCUAGAGGAGCCUGUCUAAUAACCGAUGAUCCACGAUUAACCCAACCCCCCCUGGCCCAACAGUCUAUAUACCGCCGUCGCCAGCUUACCUUGUGAAAGAAACAAAGUAAGCCCUUUAAUACCCCAUUAACACGACAGGUCGAGGUGUAACCAAUGGGUGGGACCAAGAUGGGCUACAUUUUCUAACCUAGAAAAAACGAACAGACUAUGAAACUAGAAACUGAAGGCGGAUUUAGCAGUAAGCUGGGGAUAAACAUACCCAACUGAAGUCACCGCAAUGAAGUGCGCACACACCGCCCGUCAUCCCUGCAAAACACACUAACCUUUAAUAAACACCACACUACCUCAAAACAGGGCAAGUCGUAACAUGGUAAGCGUACU
rnacentral:ncRNA from 1 species